AUGAAAAUGGAUCAGAGGAUGAUCAUCGUGUCGUCGAUCAUCGGUUCUCUAGGGGUGCUGAGUGCCAUCCUGGGGUUCUCAGCCGAGGGCACGAAGCUCACUGUUUGGACCGUGUACCGGUAUCGAGGGGUGUGCCUGUACCCGCAGAACCCGGCGCUGGGGCUCGGGGUCUGCGCGGCCAUCUUCCUCAUCGUAGGCCAAAUCAUCUUCGCGGUCGUCGGCGGCUGCUGCGGCUGCUGCAAGUCCCGCGCCAUCCCCUCCGAGACCAACCAGGUCAUCGGCAUCGUCUGCGCGCGUCUUCUCAUGGUGAGUGAUCCAUCCGUCGUCAAACCAACAAGCGCUAGCUCGCGCGUGGGUGACGAACCAAUGUCUGCUGACUAA
rnacentral:rRNA from 1 species